GGGGCCGUGCCUGAAUUAAAGGGCCACUUUGAUAGAGUGAAUAAUGGGGGUUAAAAUCCCCCCAGCCCCU
rnacentral:tRNA from 2 species